UGCUCAGCCAGCACUGAGCUGUGUUCAGCAGUACAAAUCUCCUGUUGUCAGAGCAGCUCAUUUAAGCUAUCAUCAUCAUCCUCAUCUUGGACAUUGUCAGUGCAGACACCUCAAUACACUGACCACAAGGGAGCAGAUGACUUCAAGACUGACUCUUAAAGAAGAAGUUAAAGUGGAGCUAUGCUGUGACUGCUAUUGUCUGGUCUGCGCAAUGUCGUUGAGUGGAUAAGUUCUUGCUGUGGUUCCUCCAAGAAGGAGAGGACAGCAGCAGGAUGACUAUACCAGGAUCAAGGGCAGAAUGUGUGGACAGUCUCCAGUGAUGAAAAAACAUCCUUUCAAAACCCUCCCUAAUUCCUCUGCACAGAAGAGAUGCCCAUAUUUCCACCUCCACCUUAUCUGUCUCUGACGUUUCUUCAAUUGCAGCAUGUUGAUCUGUGUUGCUCUGUACCUGUUAUAAUGAUGAUUUGUCCGAAAACUCCUUGUUGGGAAGUUGGGUAAUGUCUGACAGCAGAUAAGUGCAGCAGUGGCUCAGAAGUCUACUGUAUCUACCAAUACUUUAUAUUAUAUACAUGCAAUGUGGUCAGCAGAAAAUGUAUCCAA